rnacentral:rRNA from 1 species
CCUACGGGGGGCAGCAGUGGGGAAUUUUGCGCAAUGCUCGUAAGAGUGACGCAGCGACGCCGCGUGAAUGACGAAGGCCUUCGGGUCGUAAAGUUCUUUCGACAGGGAAGAAAAUGCAUAUAAGUAACUGUGUAUGUAUUGACGGUACCUGCAUAAGCAGCCCCGGCUAACUCCGUGCCAGCAGCCGCGGUAAUACGGAGGGGGCGAGCGUUGGUCGGAGUGGCUGGGCGUAAAGAGCACGUAGGCGGUGUUGUCAAUCAUUAAGCAAAGCCUAGAGCUCAACUUUAGUAAGGCUAGUGAUACUAUCAAACUAGAGUAUCAGAGAGGAGUGCAGAAUUCCUGGUGUAGCGGUGAAAUGCGUAGAUAUCAGGAGGAAUACCGUUAGCGAAGGCGGCAAUCUGGCUGGAAACUGACGCUGAGGUGCGAAAGCGUGGGUAGCAAACAGGAUUAGAUACCCUUGUAGUC